rnacentral:tRNA from 1 species
GGCAUGGUGGUGCAGUGGGUAGCACUCUCGCCUCACAGCAAGAAGGUCCUAGGUAUGAAUCCAGCCUGGGCCU